rnacentral:rRNA from 1 species
UACAGAGGGUGCGAGCGUUAAUCGGAAUUACUGGGCGUAAAGCGCACGUAGGCGGCUUGGUAUGUCGGGUGUGAAAUCCCCGGGCUCAACCUGGGAACUGCAUCCGAAACUGCCUUGCUAGAGUAUGGGAGAGGGAAGUGGAAUUUCCGGGUGUAGCGGUGAAAUGCGUAGAUAUCGGAAGGAACAUCAGUGGCGAAGGCGACUUCCUGGACCAAUACUGACGCUCAGGUGCGAAAGCGUGGGGAGCAAACAGGG